UCUGGGACAAGCCCUGGAAACGGGGUCUAAUACCGGAUAACACUCGUGCAUGCAUGGGUGGGGGUUGAAAGCUCCGGCGGUGAAGGAUGAGCCCGCGGCCUAUCAGCUUGUUGGUGAGGUAGAGGCUCACCAAGGCGACGACGGGUAGCCGGCCUGAGAGGGCGACCGGCCACACUGGGACUGAGACACGGCCCAGACUCCUACGGGAGGCAGCAGUGGGGAAUAUUGCACAAUGGGCGAAAGCCUGAUGCAGCGACGCCGCGUGAGGGAUGACGGCCUUCGGGUUGUAAACCUCUUUCAGCAGGGAAGAAGCGAAAGUGACGGUACCUGCAGAAGAAGCGCCGGCUAACUACGUGCCAGCAGCCGCGGUAAUACGUAGGGCGCAAGCGUUGUCCGGAAUUAUUGGGCGUAAAGAGCUCGUAGGCGGUCUGUCACGUCGGAUGUGAAAGCCCGGGGCUUAACCCCGGGUCUGCAUUCGAUACGGGCAGACUAGAGUGUGGUAGGGGAGAUCGGAAUUCCUGGUGUAGCGGUGAAAUGCGCAGAUAUCAGGAGGAACACCGGUGGCGAAGGCGGAUCUCUGGGCCAUUACUGACGCUGAGGAGCGAAAGCGUGGGGAGCGAACAGGAUUAGAUACCCUGGUAGUCCACGCCGUAAACGGUGGGAACUAGGUGUUGGCGACAUUCCACGUCGUCGGUGCCGCAGCUAACGCAUUAAGUUCCCCGCCUGG
rnacentral:rRNA from 1 species